GAUGAACGCUAGCUACAGGCUUAACACAUGCAAGUCGCAGGGUAACAUGAGGAAAGCUUGCUUUCCUUGAUGACGACUGGCGCACGGGUGAGUAACGCGUAUCCAACCUUCCCAUAACUACGGGAUAACCCGUUGAAAGACGGCCUAAUACCGUAUGAUAUCGUUUGCUGACAUCAAAUAACGAUUAAAGGUUUAGCGGUUAUGGAUGGGGAUGCGUCUGAUUAGCUUGUUGGCGGGGUAACGGCCCACCAAGGCGACGAUCAGUAGGGGUUCUGAGAGGAAGGUCCCCCACAGUGGAACUGAGACACGGUCCAAACUCCUACGGGAGGCAGCAGUGAGGAAUAUUGGUCAAUGGGCGAGAGCCUGAACCAGCCAAGUAGCGUGCAGGACGACGGCCCUAUGGGUUGUAAACUGCUUUUAUGUGGGGAUAAAGUGCGUGACGUGUCAUGCAUUGCAGGUACCACAUGAAUAAGGACCGGCUAAUUCCGUG
rnacentral:rRNA from 1 species